AAAGACGACAGAUGUGGUAAAUAAUGAAUGGAUAUGCAGCAUUUUAGAUCUCAAGCCAACUUUCUUUCAUUAAGAAAAAGGAAAAAUAAAUCCAUUCUUUCCUCUUCAAGGAGAUUUCUUGCUGUCUGAGGUGUCAAUAAAAUUACUUGAUUUGAUUUUCAGAGAUCCCUUAAUUAGCCAAUCCUUUCUGGCUAGCUUUGGCGUUGACAUCCAGGUUUCCAGAUAAAUAAAUGCCACUCUUCCAGAAGUGAGCAAUGACAGAUCUUGAAGGAAUGCUGCUUAUCCUACAGCCUCCAAAUUUAACUGUCCCAAUAAGUCACACAGAUAAAGCAGUAGUUUUCAUCACCUUCUACUAGACAAAAUUGAAGUAUUUGCCCUGAAAUAUCUGCAUUCUAAUAUUUUACAGGAUUCCACCUCGCCAUCUUACAACCGUCAGAAUGAACGGGAGUCGUAUUCUUCUGGAGCUAGUCAAUAUGGUGGACAAGGUUCACCUUACUCGGGAGGCAGCCAGUAUGGAGGACAGGUGAGAAAAAAUACAAAAACUGUG
rnacentral:lncRNA from 1 species